AUUGAACGCUGGCGGCGUGCUUAACACAUGCAAGUCGAGCGGUAACAGGCGUAGCAAUACGUGCUGACGAGCGGCGAACGGGUGCGUAAUACAUCGGAAUCUGCCUAGUAGUGGGGAAUAACCCGGCGAAAGCCGGGCUAAUGCCGCAUACGAUCCACGGAUGAAAGCGGGGGACUUUCGGGCCUCGCGCUAUUAGAUGAGCCGAUGCCGGAUUAGCUAGNGGUGAGGUAACGGCUCACCAAGGCGACGAUCCGUAGCUGGUCUGAGAGGACGGCCAGCCACACUGGGACUGAGACACGGCCCAGACUCCUACGGGAGGCAGCAGUGGGGAAUAUUGGACAAUGGGGGAAACCCUGAUCCAGCGACGCCGCGUGUGUGAAGAAGGCCU
rnacentral:rRNA from 1 species